UACGAAGGGGGCUAGCGUUGCUCGGAAUCACUGGGCGUAAAGGGUGCGUAGGCGGGUUUUAAGUCAGAGGUGAAAUCCUGGAGCUCAACUCCAGAACUGCCUUUGAUACUGGCGAGCUUGAGUUCGGGAGAGGUGAGUGGAACUGCGAGUGUAGAGGUGAAAUUCGUAGAUAUUCGCAAGAACACCAGUGGCGAAGGCGGCUCACUGGCCCGAUACUGACGCUGAGGUGCGAAAGCGUGGGGAGCAAACCGG
rnacentral:rRNA from 1 species